rnacentral:lncRNA from 1 species
AGUCAUCUCUGUUCAGCUCAGAUCUAAGAGGCAGAGGCAGGGCACUGAGCUCAGAGUUAUAUGUAAAUCUGAGUCUAGAGAGGACCCGCUGAGCUUUCUAGGUUCGUAAGUCCCAGAACAAAUAAUUGGACCAGGGUGAGAAAAAAGUAGAGGUGCUGAUGGACCCCCACCUGGGAGUGUGGUUCGUCUUGGAGUCUGCGUGUGGGAUUCUUACGGUUCUCUGAUGGACCCAGUCACGCCAGCCAGCAUGGCACAGAAGCAAUGUGCAGUUCAACGGAGAAGAGCCACGGCGCUAUGUGGCUUGUCUCCGGAACGUCCUCAUCUGGGGAACGCCACCUCAGCACCCCCUCAGCGCCCCAAAGCUUCUGUCUGUGGUUGUUUCCUGUGCGAGUACAACUCGGAGCAUUCAAGCUGUUGUACCAGACUCAUCUUGCCCAGUGUCAGAAUCUCUUGUUCAAGACAGGCUGGGUGUGAAGCAUGCCUAUAGUCCUGGCACAUCAGGAGCUCAAGGCCGGUCCAGCUACUUGAGACCCGUGUGAGAGCUUAGAAGGUAAAGGUGCUUGCUGCUGUGCUUGACAGCGUGACGGAAAACAAGAAUGGACCCCUACAUGUUGUUCUUGGAUCUCCAUACAUGUUCCCAUGGACCCCCAAUAAAUAAAAUGUAAUUAAAAAAAAAA